AGAGUUUGAUCCUGGCUCAGAACGAACGCUGGCAGCGUGGAUGAGGCAUGCAAGUCGAACGGUUGCAGGAUGAUAGCAAUAUUUUUCUGCAAUAGUGGCGGAAGGGCGAGUAAUGCAAGAGCAAGCUACCCCCCGGUUCGGAACAACGUCUGGAAACGGACGCUAAUACCGGAUCCGAAGCGCGGACAGAUGUCCGUGUCUUGAAAGGCGGGGCCCCGCGAGGGCCUGUCGCCGGGGGAGGCGCUCCUGUGCCAUCAGCUAGUUGGUGAGGUAACGGCUCACCAAGGCUUACGGCUAGGUGGACUGAGAGGUUGGUCACCCGCACUGGGACUGAGACACUGCCCAGACUCCUACGGGAGGCUGCAGUCGAGGAUCAUUCGCAAUGGGGGAAACCCUGACGAUGCGACGCUGCGUGGAGGAUGAAGGCCCUCGGGUCGUAAACUCCUGUCAUGUGGGACAAGAUGGCAUCCGCUAACACCGGUGUGCCUUUGAUGGUACCACAAGAGGAAGCCACGGCUAACUCUGUGCCAGCAGCCGCGGUAAUACAGAGGUGGCGAGCGUUGUUCGGAUUUACUGGGCGUAAAGCGUGCGUAGGCGGUCGCGUGUGUCGGAUGUGAAAUCCCGGGGCUCACCCCCGGAAGUGCAUCCGAAACUGCGCGGCUUGAGGCCGGGAUGGGUGACUGGAACACAUGGUGUAGCGGUGAAAUGCGUUGAUAUCAUGUGGAACACCGGAGGGGAAGGCGAGUCACUGGAACGGGAUCUGACGUUGAGGCACGAAAGCGUGGGGAGCAAACAGGAUUAGAUACCCUGGUAGUCCACGCCGUAAACGUUGCACAUUUGCCGUGGGGGGAAUUGACCCCCCCCGUGGCGGAGCUAACGCGUUAAAUGUGCCGCCUGGGGAGUACGGCCGCAAGGUUAAAACUCAAAGAAAUUGACGGGGGCCCGCACAAGCGGAGGAGCAUGUGGCUUAAUUCGAUGCAACGCGAAGAACCUUACCUAGGCUUGACAUGUGACUGCACGCCCUGUGAAAGCAGGGCUCCUUCGAGGGUGUCACACAGGUGCCGCAUGGCUGUCGUCAGUUCGUGCCGUGAGGUGUUUGGUUAAGUCCACCAACGAACGCAACCCCUGCGUCCAUUUGCCAACGGGUAAUGCCGGGAACUAUGGACGGACUGCCCCUUCAAACGGGAGGAAGGUGGGGAUGACGUCAGGUCAGUAUGGCCCUUACGCCUAGGGCUGCACACGUGCUACAAUGGCCGGUACAGAAGGAUGCAAGACCGCGAGAUGGAGCAAAACCCCAAAACCGGCCCCAGUUCAGAUUGGAGUCUGCAAUUCGACUCCAUGAAGUUGGAUUCGCUAGUAACGGCGCAUCAGCAUUCGGCGCCGUGAAUAAGAUCCCGGGCCUUGCACUCACCGCCCGUCA
rnacentral:rRNA from 1 species